UCCCUGGUGGUUCAGUGGUUAGGAUGCGGCAUUUUCACUGCCAUUGCCUGGGUUCAACCCCUGUUUAGGGAA
rfam:TPA: Bos taurus chromosome 23, whole genome shotgun sequence.